GACGUAGGGCGCGAGCGUUGUCCGGAUUUAUUGGGCGUAAAGAGCUCGUAGGCGGCUCGUUGCGUCAACCGUGAAAACCCGGGGCUCAACUCCGGGCUUGCAUUCGAUACGGGCGGACUAGAGUUCGGUAGGGGAGACUGGAAUUCCUGGUGUAGCGGUGAAAUGCGCAGAUAUCAGGAGGAACACCGGUGGCGAAGGCGGGUCUCUGGGCCGAUACUGACGCUGAGGAGCGAAAGCGUGGGGAGCAAACAGG
rnacentral:rRNA from 1 species